GAGGACCGAACCGACUAAUGUUGAAAAAUUAGCGGAUGACCUGUGGCUGGGGGUGAAAGGCCAAUCAAACCGGGAGAUAGCUGGUUCUCCCCGAAAGCUAUUUAGGUAGCGCCUCGUGAAUUCAUCUCCGGGGGUAGAGCACUGUUUCGGCUAGGGGGCCAUCCCGGCUUACCAACCCGAUGCAAACUGCGAAUACCGGAGAAUGUUAUCACGGGAGACACACGGCGGGUGCUAACGUCCGUCGUGAAGAGGGAAACAACCCAGACCGCCAGCUAAGGUCCCAAAGUCAUGGUUAAGUGGGAAACGAUGUGGGAAGGCCCAGACAGCCAGGAUGUUGGCUUAGAAGCAGCCAUCAUUUAAAGAAAGCGUAAUAGCUCACUGGUCGAGUCGGCCUGCGCGGAAGAUGUAACGGGGCUAAACCAUGCACCGAAGCUGCGGCAGCGAACGUAUCACCCAAGACAACUUUACGGAGUUGACGAUUGACGGAGCGAAGCGACGUCAAAGCGUUCAUUAAAGUCGAGUUGGCUUAGGGAUACGUUCGUUGGGUAGGGGAGCGUUCUGUAAGCCUGUGAAGGUGUGUCGUGAGGCAUGCUGGAGGUAUCAGAAGUGCGAAUGCUGACAUAAGUAACGAUAAAGCGGGUGAAAAGCCCGCUCGCCGGAAGACCAAGGGUUCCUGUCCAACGUUAAUCGGGGCAGGGUGAGUCGACCCCUAAGGCGAGGCCGAAAGGCGUAGUCGAUGGGAAACGGGUUAAUAUUCCCGUACUUGGUGUUACUGCGAAGGGGGGACGGAGAAGGCUAUGUUGGCCGGGCGACGGUUGUCCCGGUUUAAGCGUGUAGGUGUGUGUUCCAGGUAAAUCCGGUUCACUUUAACACUGAGGCGUGACGACGAGGCACUACGGUGCUGAAGCAACAAAUGCCCUGCUUCCAGGAAAAGCCUCUAAGCAUCAGGUAACAUCAAAUCGUACCCCAAACCGACACAGGUGGUCAGGUAGAGAAUACCAAGGCGCUUGAGAGAACUCGGGUGAAGGAACUAGGCAAAAUGGUGCCGUAACUUCGGGAGAAGGCACGCUGACACGUAGGUGAAGUGAUUUACUCAUGGAGCUGAAGUCAGUCGAAGAUACCAGCUGGCUGCAACUGUUUAUUAAAAACACAGCACUGUGCAAACACGAAAGUGGACGUAUACGGUGUGACGCCUGCCCGGUGCCGGAAGGUUAAUUGAUGGGGUCAGCGCAAGCGAAGCUCCUGAUCGAAGCCCCGGUAAACGGCGGCCGUAACUAUAACGGUCCUAAGGUAGCGAAAUUCCUUGUCGGGUAAGUUCCGACCUGCACGAAUGGCGUAAUGAUGGCCAGGCUGUCUCCACCCGAGACUCAGUGAAAUUGAACUCGCUGUGAAGAUGCAGUGUACCCGCGGCAAGACGGAAAGACCCCGUGAACCUUUACUAUAGCUUGACACUGAACAUUGAGCCUUGAUGUGUAGGAUAGGUGGGAGGCUUUGAAGUGUGGACGCCAGUCUGCAUGGAGCCGACCUUGAAAUACCACCCUUUAAUGUUUGAUGUUCUAACGUGGACCCGUAAUCCGGGUUGCGGACAGUGUCUGGUGGGUAGUUUGACUGGGGCGGUCUCCUCCUAAAGAGUAACGGAGGAGCACGAAGGUUGGCUAAUCCUGGUCGGACAUCAGGAGGUUAGUGCAAUGGCAUAAGCCAGCUUGACUGCGAGCGUGACGGCGCGAGCAGGUGCGAAAGCAGGUCAUAGUGAUCCGGUGGUUCUGAAUGGAAGGGCCAUCGCUCAACGGAUAAAAGGUACUCCGGGGAUAACAGGCUGAUACCGCCCAAGAGUUCAUAUCGACGGCGGUGUUUGGCACCUCGAUGUCGGCUCAUCACAUCCUGGGGCUGAAGUAGGUCCCAAGGGUAUGGCUGUUCGCCAUUUAAAGUGGUACGCGAGCUGGGUUUAGAACGUCGUGAGACAGUUCGGUCCCUAUCUGCCGUGGGCGCUGGAGAACUGAGGGGGGCUGCUCCUAGUACGAGAGGACCGGAGUGGACGCAUCACUGGUGUUCGGGUUGUCAUGCCAAUGGCACUGCCCGGUAGCUAAAUGCGGAAGAGAUAAGUGCUGAAAGCAUCUAAGCACGAAACUUGCCCCGAGAUGAGUUCUCCCUGAGACUUAGAGUCUCCUGAAGGAACGUUGAAGACGACGACGUUGAUAGGCCGGGUGUGUAAGCGCAGCGAUGCGUUGAGCUAACCGGUACUAAUGAACCGUGAGGCUUAACCUUACAACGCCGAAG
rnacentral:rRNA from 1 species